AGGUGCGGUGGUGGGUGCCUGUAAUCCCAGCUACUUGGGGGACUGAGGCAGGAGAAUUGCUUGAACUCGGGAGGCGGAGGUUGCAGUGAGCCGAGAUCAUGCCAUUGUACUCCAGCCUGAGUACAGAGUGAGUCUCUGUCUCAAAAUAAAAAUAAAAAUAAAAAUAAUUUUUUUAAACAUUGAGGUGGGAGUAUCACUUGAGCCUAUGGAUUCUGGUUCACAGUGUGCUAUGCCAAUUAGGUGUUCCCACUAACUGAGUGUUCAGCAUCAAUAUGGUGACCUCCCAGGAGUGGGAGACUACCAGAUUGCCUAAGGAGGGGUGAACCGGAGCAGGCCAAAACUCCUGUGAUGACCAGUAGUGAGAUGUGGCCUGUGAAUAGCUACUGCACUCCAGCCUGGACAACAUAGCAAGAUCCUAUCUCUU
rnacentral:SRP_RNA from 1 species